GACGAACGCUGGCGGCGUGCUUAACACAUGCCAGUCGAACGGAGAGGCCCCUUUGGGGGUACUCGAGUGGCGAACGGGUGAGUAACACGUGAGUAACCUGCCCUUGACUUCGGGAUAACUUCAGGAAACUGGGGCUAAUACCGGAUAGGAAUCCUUGCUGCAUGGUGGGGGUUGGAAAGCUUCGGCGGUUUUGGAUGGACUCGCGGCUUAUCAGCUUGUUGGUGGGGUAGUGGCUUACCAAGGCUUUGACGGGUAGCCGGCCUGAGAGGGCGACCGGCCACAUUGGGACUGAGAUACGGCCCAGACUCCUACGGGAGGCAGCAGUGGGGAAUAUUGCACAAUGGGCGGAAGCCUGAUGCAGCAACGCCGCGUGCGGGAUGACGGCCUUCGGGUUGUAAACCGCUUUCGCCUGUGACGAAGCGUGAGUGACGGUAAUGGGUAAAGAAGCACCGGCUAACUACGUG
rnacentral:rRNA from 1 species